UAAGGAAUAUUGGUCAAUGGACGCAAGUCUGAACCAGCCAUGCCGCGUGAAGGAUGAAGGUCCUCUGGAUUGUAAACUUCUUUUAUCUGGGACGAAAACGGGAUUUUUAUCUCAAUUGACGGUACCAGAGGAAUAAGCACCGGCUAACUCCGUGCCAGCAGCCGCGGUAAUACGGAGGGUGCGAGCGUUAUCCGGAUUUACUGGGUUUAAAGGGUGCGUAGGUGGGCUUAUAAGUCAGUGGUGAAAUCUCCGAGCUUAACUUGGAAACUGCCGUUGAUACUAUAGGUCUUGAAUUAUCUGGAGGUAAGCGGAAUAUGCCAUGUAGCGGUGAAAUGCUUAGAUAUGACAUAGAACACCAAUUGCGAAGGCAGCUUACUACAUAUAAAUUGACGCUGAGGCAUGAAAGCGUGGGGAUCAAACA
rnacentral:rRNA from 1 species